rnacentral:misc_RNA from 1 species
ACUCAUCAUAUGUCUUGUGGAUUAAAAACCAUUUUUGCUUGAAUUUCUUCCAAUGUUCGUCCUUUGGUCUCUGGCACCAACUUCCAAACAAAUAAAACAGUGAAACCACACAUAGUCGCAAAGAUGAAAAAUGUGCCUGCAGAGCUCCAUUCCAUCAUAAAGUUGAAUGUGUAAGACACAAGCCAGGAGCAGGACCAAUUGGUUAAGGUAACUAGGCUUCCAGCUGAGGCCUUGACACUUACAGGAAAUAUCUCUGACAUGAUCACCCAUGGUAUUACUGAUAUGCCUACUCCAAAAGCUGCGAGAUAACCCAAUAAGCCAGCAAAUGCCAUAAAUGGAGUGAGGUCCUUCAAAUAUCCAUGUUCCUUCAAUAAGAAUGAUAAUCCAACUAGGCUCAAGAACAAGCAUGUUCCUCCAGAAGAAACCAUCAGGAGAGUUCGUC